rnacentral:rRNA from 1 species
CAGUGGGGAAUAUUGGACAAUGGGCGCAAGCCUGAUCCAGCAAUGCCGCGUGUGUGAAGAAGGCCUUCGGGUUGUAAAGCACUUUUAUCAGGAGCGAAAUACUAGCGGUUAAUAACCGGAGGGGCUGACGGUACCUGAGGAAUAAGCACCGGCUAACGACGUGCCAGCAGCCGCGGUAAUACGAAGGGGGCUAGUGCUAAUCGGAAUUACUGGGCGUAAAGGGUGCGUAGGCGGUUUGUUAAGUCUGUUGUGAAAGCCCCGGGCUCAACCUGGGAAUGGCAAUGGAUACUGGCAAGCUAGAGUGUGUCAGAGGGGGGUGGAAUUUCCGGUGUAGCGGUGAAAUGCGUAGAUAUCGGAAGGAACAUCAGUGGCGAAGGCGGCCAUCUGGGACAACACUGACGCUGAAGCACGAAAGCGUGGGGAGCAAACAGGAUUAGA